AAACCUUGCAAUACCAAGAUUGGAUGAAAAUGACUAGGUGGCCUAGCGCCUGCCCGCUCCCGCGCAUGCUCCCUGACUUCACCAGGGUCAUGCCGCAGCCCGCAGGAAUAAAAAUCCACUUCUCCGCAUUUUGGAGAUCACCUGGUAGCGGUUCAAACGCUUUGGCUUCUCAGAGAGGAGAGGACCGGGCGAUCACGAGGAGCCGAGGGAGAAGGCUGCUCGCAAAGCCCGGAAAAGCUUUCCCGAUCCACUUUGCGGGCCUCCGGGCGCCUCCAGACAUGCGCAGUAGCCUCCCCAGCGGUGGCGGCGGUGGUGGCGGCGCUGGUGGAGGCUGAGUGUCCAGAGCCGGACGUUCCGGCCGCUUCGGGCUGGCCGCUGGAGAGCGCCCGGGUCAUGUCGGCCCAGGGGGACUGCGAGUUCCUGGUGCAGCGAGCCCGGGAGUUGGUGCCGCAAGACCUGUGGGCAGCCAAGGCGUGGCUGAUCACGGCCCGCAGCCUCUACCCGACAGACUUUAAUAUUCAGUAUGAGAUGUACACCAUCGAGCGGAAUGCAGAGCGGACCGCCACCGCCGGGAGGCUGCUGUACGACAUGUUUGUGAGUUUCCCAGACCAGCCGGUGGUAUGGAGAGAAAUCAGCAUUAUUACAUCAGCCUUAAGGAAUGAUUCACAGGACAAACAAACCCAAUUUUUAAGAAGUUUGUUUGAAACUCUUCCUGGCCGGGUCCAGUGUGAAAUGUUACUAAAGGUCACGGAACAAUGCUUCAACACGUUAGAACGAUCAGAAAUGUUGCUUCUACUUUUGAGGCGCUUCCCUGAAACGGUGGUGCAGCAUGGGGUUGGCCUUGGGGAGGCACUAUUAGAGGCUGAAACUAUUGAAGAACAAGAAUCUCCUGUGAACUGCUUUAGAAAAUUAUUUGUUUGUGAUGUCCUUCCUCUAAUAAUUAACAACCAUGAUGUUCGAUUGCCUGCUAAUUUAUUAUAUAAGUACUUGAACAAAGCAGCUGAAUUUUAUAUCAAUUAUGUCACUAGGUCUACUCAAAUAGAAAAUCAGCAUCAAGGUGCCCAGGAUACAUCUGAUUUAAUGUCACCUAGCAAACGUAGCUCUCAGAAGUACAUAAUAGAAGGGCUGACGGAAAAAUCAUCCCAGAUCGUGGACCCUUGGGAGAGGUUGUUUAAGAUUUUGAAUGUUGUUGGAAUGAGAUGUGAAUGGCAAAUGGAUAAAGGAAGACGAAGCUACGGAGAAAUUUUGCAUAGAAUGAAGGAUCUCUGCAGAUACAUGAAUAACUUCGAUAGCGAAGCACAUGCAAAAUAUAAAAACCAAGUAGUAUAUUCCACCAUGCUGGUCUUCUUUAAGAAUGCGUUCCAGUAUGUCAACAGCAUACAGCCGUCUCUCUUCCAAGGUCCUAAUGCCCCAAACCAAGUUCCGCUUGUUCUUCUUGAAGAUGUAUCGAACGUGUAUGGUGAUGUAGAAAUUGACCGUAACAAACACAUCCAUAAAAAAAGGAAACUAGCUGAAGGAAGAGAAAAAACCAUGAGUUCAGACGAUGAAGACUGUUCAGCAAAAGGAAGAAAUCGUCACAUUGUUGUUAAUAAAGCGGAACUCGCUAACUCCGUUGAAGUGUUAGAAAGCUUUAAAUGGGCCAGGGAGAGCUGGGAGUUGCUGUAUUCCCUAGAAUUCCUUGACAAAGAAUUUACAAGAAUUUGUUUGGCCUGGAAGACGGAUACUUGGCUUUGGUUAAGAAUCUUCCUCACUGAUAUGAUCAUCUAUCAGGGUCAAUAUAAAAAGGCAAUAGCCAGCCUGCAUCACUUAGCAGCUCUCCAGGGAUCCAUUUCUCAGCCACCAAUCACAGGGCAGGGGACCCUGGAGCAUCAGAGGGCGCUCAUCCAGCUGGCGACGUGCCACUUUGCAUUAGGGGAGUACAGAAUGACAUGUGAAAAAGUCCUCGAUUUGAUGUGCUACAUGGUACUCCCCAUUCAAGAUGGAGGCAAAUCCCAGGAGGAACCCACAAAAAUAAAGCCUAAAUUUAGAAAAGGUUUGGAUCUGAAGCUCCUGCCUUGUACCAGCAAGGCUAUCAUGCCAUACUGCCUGCAUUUAAUGUUAGCCUGUUUUAAGCUUAGAGCUUUCACAGACAACAGAGACGACAUGGCACUGGGGCAUGUGAUUGUGUUGCUUCAGCAAGAGUGGCCACGGGGCGAGAACCUUUUCCUGAAAGCUGUCAAUAAAAUUUGCCAACAAGGAAAUUUCCAAUAUGAGAAUUUUUUCAAUUACGUUACAAAUAUUGAUAUGCUGGAGGAAUUUGCCUACUUGAGAACUCAGGAAGGUGGGAAAAUUCAUCUGGAAUUACUACCCAAUCAAGGAAUGCUGAUCAAAAUUCCGCACAGCCAUGGGUCCCGGACUCUUAUUUUCCCCUCAUCUGUUCUCAAUACGUUUUUGAAAUUCAAACUCACCUUUUUUUUUUUUUUUUUUUUUUUUUUUUAAAUCAAAAACUUUGCCAGACCCUUUAAUCCUCUUGGAAAGUCCUCUCCAGUGGGGCUGCAGUCCUGUUAAAGGUGGCUACCAGACAUCACCAGGCUGAAUGCUGGGACUGGUACACCAUGAGAAAAGUGGAAAUUAAAGAGGCUGGCUUUGAAAAUGUGUCUUCUCAAAGGCUGCCCCUGCCCCCUAUUGCCAUUCAGCUACAUUCCAUCGUCCUCUUUCUCCCUGGCCACUUUUUAUACCACAUCACAAGGGGGCUGAGCUCUGGGACCAGGAACUGAGACGACUCUGGACAUGCACCAGCAGCAGCAGGCACCACACGGUAACUCGAGGCAUCACCAAAGGCGUGAAGGAGGACUUUCGCCUGGCCAUGGAGCGCCAGGUC